rnacentral:rRNA from 1 species
GACGAACGCUGGCGGCGUGCUUAACACAUGCAAGUCGAACGAUGAAGCAAAGAAUUGAAGCUUCGGCAGAAAUUCAUUUCGGAUUAGUGGCAGACGGGUGAGUAACGCGUGAGCAACCUACCUCUUACAAAGGGAUAGCCUCGGGAAACCGGGAUUAAUACCAUAUAACAUUGCGACGAAGCAUUUCGAUGCACUCAAAGCUACGGCGGUAAGAGAUGGGCUCGCGUCCCAUUAACCAGAUGGUGAGGUAACGGCUCACCAUAGUAACGAUGGGUAACCGGCCUGAGAGGGUGAACGGUCACACUGGAACUGAGACACGGUCCAGACUCCUACGGGAGGCAGCAGUGGGGAAUAUUGCACAAUGGAGGGAACUCUGAUGCAGCGACGCCGCGUGAGUGAUGAAGGAAUUCGUUUCGUAAAACUCUGUUCUAUGGGAAGAAAAGGACUGUACCAUAGGAGAAAGCUCCGGCUAAAUACGUG